CUUGUUGGGAUGGUCUGCACCAUUUGUUCAAACAUUCUAUUGGCUAAGCUGCGUGUCCAUACUUAGCUGCAAAGGAGGCUGGCUAAGAGGCUAGUUGCUUCACCAGUCCUAGCUGGAUAACAUGAAUCUGGGGGUCAGAGGGCGCGAUGAGUUUAAAUCCUCAAGGCGAAGAGACGUUUAUUGCUCC
rnacentral:lncRNA from 1 species